CAGCGAGGCCCGGCGGGGGCGGCGAGCGCGCUUCCCCCCGCCCGCUCGGGCGGCGCAGAGGCGCGAGCAGCUCAGCCAGCCUUGCAGAGGGAGCUCUCGGCAACUCUGGGGUCCCUCUGCUCGCAGCCGCAGCAGCGCCGCCUGCGCCACUCGGCGGAGACGGAGACCAGCGGCGGCGACGCGCGGACUAGGAGCAACCGCCGAGUAGCUGAGUGGCUGGGGACGCACACAGGGCGGCCGGGAAAUCCUGAUGUGUCCUCCUUUGUGGAAUCAACUCCCAAGAUCAAGAAAUGGAAAGCCAAAAAAAGAAAGAAAUGGAAAGCCAAACCAAAAAGAUAGGAUAUUUCAGGCUGGAAAGAAAUAUGUGGAAGCUGGAUGUGGCGGUGCACCCCUGUAAUCCCAGCAUUUUGGGAGGAAUCCUGUGAAAGCCAUAUUUGUCUUUGAUCUCAGCUCAAGUGACUCCUCUCUGAAGUUUGAAAGACUUCACCUAGCCCUACAUCCCAUGCUUGAGAACUUUGAGUACAUGAGGAAGAAGAGUGGGAAACGAGGAAAAAUAAGGUUGGAAGAGGGCAGGAGGAAAGGAGGGGCGUAAAGGCAGGCUUCACCUACAACCAACACAAUAAAUUCUAUCCUACAUCAACUCA